UACGUAGGGUGCAAGCGUUUAAUCGGAAUUACUGGGCGUAAAGCGUGCGCAGGCGGUUUUUGUAAGUCAGAUGUGAAAUCCCCGGGCUUAACCUGGGAACUGCGUUUGAAACUACAAGGCUAGAGUGUGGCAGAGGGGGGUGGAAUUCCACGUGUAGCAGUGAAAUGCGUAGAGAUGUGGAGGAACACCGAUGGCGAAGGCAGCCCCCUGGGUUAACACUGACGCUCAGGCACGAAAGCGUGGGGAGCAAACAGG
rnacentral:rRNA from 1 species